rnacentral:lncRNA from 1 species
GGAAACAACAUGGAUAUUUUAUUGAGACCUCUUGAUAUUCUGUUUCUCCACAGGUCACUGUUUUGAAGAAAGCCCUGGCUGUGCUGUACCUGGCCUACUGUCAGGAGUGUGACGCCCGCAGGCUGCCCAUGGCCAGCAUCAGCAAUUUGAGUCACGCAGCAGGAGCAUAAGAAGAGGGUUGGGGGCAGGAACCACAUGCAGUGGGUGACUUCGGGUCCAAUGUACAUAUGUGGGAUACAUAGAGGCAAUAGGACUGAACAGCUUUUGAGGUAGUGUCUGAGGACUCGGAGAUGGUGAAAGUGGCACUCGAGGUGUGUGGGGAAGAUUUGAUCAAGGCCCAGGUGGAGUUGAACCACCUGCAGGCUGAGUACAGGGAUGCAGUGCCCUGCAGAGUCUGGGAAGCCCUUGAUCAUGCCUAUCAGGAGACCCUGCUGAAGCUGCAAACCCUUCAGAUGGACUUUGACCAAAUCAAAGCCGAGUACGACACACUGCUGGAGGUCCACAUACAGAUCACUGAGCAGUGGGACAUCCUCGAGGGGGAGCUAAAGGCCUUCCAGGACAUACUCGGGGCACAUCUCCCAGGGCCAGUCCAGCCUGACCAUUCUGCUGCAGAAGUUGGAAGAGAGGGCCAUGAAGCAGGAAUUCUUCAUUGGGCUGGUAGCCACUCCACCACGUACCCACCGGCUGACCUGCUCCAUAGGAUUACAUUCUCACGCCCACCACACCCCCAGUCUUCUCAGUAUCAUAAUACACACACAAAGUGCAAGUGCUUUAUAAAUCUCCACCUCAAAGACUGCAGGACAGGUAGGAUGAUAGAGGUGAAUUUUUGACUCUGUUUAGUUGUUUCCAAAUCUGUCUGCAGCGUGAGCCAUUCUUGGAGAACCCCUAAUCACAGUCAGAAGAUGACAACUCUACUAUACUGGCUGAGCCAGUCUGGAGCACCAAAACUCUGUGCUCUGCAUUAAAUUUAAGAUGUUUACACAGUAAUGGAGAAUUCUGCAGACACACAAACAUAACCUCCCAAGGCAAUGUGCAGCCUAAUAUUUUCUUACCUUGCAGGGCUAUAAACCUCCUGUAGAUGGAUGAUGCGCUGCUGGCUGAUUUUUGUUUUAUUAAAACAUGGCGCCCCUUUGUGUCCUCUCACGGUACUGAACCACACAGGAACAUUGGAGAACCUGUAGCUCAACAUUUCAGAUUUGGUCAGUCUCAUCAAGGAAAUCUAGAAGGAAAAGGUCCCUGGAGAUGAGAAAGUAGCUUCAGUAUAUUAUCUAAAUUAUAAUUAUGUCAAAGAAUCACAAGGUACAUUAAAAUACACAGAGCUUAGUUGCAUCUCUAAACCAAACCUACUUUUUACUUGCUUUCACUUCAUUGUUGUGAGUUUCAGAAAUGUUUGUCCCAGAGAGGGGGGUGGAGCAGCAAGUUCCCCAAGUUCUUUUCGAUGUAGUUGGAGAGCAGGCACAGGAAGCAUGCUUAGAACCUAAUGGAGAGGUGCUGGCUGGUCGGCCUCUUCUUUAACAUCCUGACGGUGAAGGUGUGCACAGUGUUACCGUAGGGCUAUUAACCUAAUGAGUAAGGCAGUGGGUGAAGUUAUGGCACAGUUAACGAGAUUUUAACUUUAAAGGUUGCAGACUAAGUGUUCCUUUAGCACUUUAUCUAGAUGGAUUCACUUAAUAUCAGACUGUAUAAAUGGGGAAAAUACACACACACACACACACACACACACACACACACACAAUUUUCUGAACCGCUUGUCCCAUACAGGGUCACGGGGAACCGGAGCCCACCCGGCAACACAGGGCGUAAGGCCGGAGGGGGCUGAGGACACACCCAGGACAGGACGCCAGUCCGCCGCAAGGCACCCCAAGCAGGACUCGAACCCCAGACCCACCGGAGAGCAGGACUGUGGUCCAACCCACUGCACCACCGCACCCCCGGGGAAAAUAUUAAACUAUUAAUAUUAUUAUUAUUAAAAUACUAGAUUAAAUUAUCCAAAGUGUGUAUAACUUAGCAGGAAAAUAUUUGUAAAAAAAAAAUGUAUCAAAUGGGAACAACAGGUUUGGAAGCGCAAGGCGCUACAGCGAGUGGUGAAAGCUGCUCAAACCAUCUCUGGAACAUCCUUACCAUCACUGGAGACCCUCUACCAGGCCAGAACCAUCUGGAGAGCCAUUAACAUCAUCAAGGACAAUAGUCAUCCCCAGCACAGCCUUUUCACACCCUUACCAUUAGGCAGACACUACAGGAGUGUUAAAGCCAGAACUUCAAGGCUGAAAAACUUCUCUCUUUUUUUUACCCUCAGGCCAUCAGGCUUGUGAACAACACCCAUCCACUACCUCUCCACCCAUCACGGCAAACACAGAUUACCCUCUGAGCCCGAGAGGCGUCAACUACUCCCCAUCCCUCCUACACACACACAUACACAUCCGCUCCACAACGCCAACAACAUAAGAGGCCACAGACUGCCUCCGCAUACUUCGCGCACACAAAUACGCACCACCUUUCGACUGCGAAUAGACCCAAUCUACCUCUGCAGGACUUUGCACGUGUACGACUUCCAUGUUUACAUUGCGCGCUGCACACUUUAGAUACGUAUAUAACUUCGUCUCUUGGAUUUUUGCACUAAUACUAAUUUUUGUAAAUUUGUGAUUUACGCCUUGUUUUUCUUUCCUUGCGUCCUUACAAUUUAUGUCAUAGGCUGCUGAGAGGAUUCACAGAGUAAGAAUUUCAUCGUAUGGCGUAACAAACUGUUUACUGUACACAUGACAAACUCUUGAAUCUUGAAUAGUUAUUAUUAUAGGGUACAGGGUAAUCUUUUGUAGUCUGGGUUCUGGUGUGUGUGUGUGAAAUUGUGCACCGUGGACAGAACCAUUUGCUGUAUCAACUCCUGAAGGAAUUUAUCCACAGCAAUGUCACAAAGGGUGGAACACCCAGCAUUCAACAGUUUCAGGUGUGAAUGUGCAGAUUACCUGGAUUGUUAUGCUGACUUCCACAUUAAGAUAACAACAGAACUAAUAUCCUCACAAACUGACUGUAAGCCUUCAGGGGAACAUUGAUUGGAACCACUGAAAAACACUGACAAUGUAUUGACAGGCGGGGGUGCGGUGGCGCAGUGGGUUGGACCGGGUCCUGCUCUCCAGUGGGUCUGGGGUUCGAGUCCCGCUUGGGGUGCCUUGUAACGGACUGGUGUCCCGUCCUGGGUGUGUCCCCUCCCCCUCCGGCCUUACGCUCUGUGUUGCUGGGUAGGCUCCCGUUCCCCGUGACCUCAAAUGGGACGAGCGGUUCAGAAAAUGUGUGUGUGUGUGUGUGUGUGUGUAUUGACAGGCUAUGAAAACCAGUUAAAACAAAUUUCCUAAAAGUCCCUUCCUACACACAUCCCUGACUCCUCUGAACCUUCUGAGGAAUUCUCAAGAUGGUAAUACUAGGUGGGGAGCUGAUACAGUAGGUUGGUGGAACAGAUUACCUGUUCACAGAUUUUGGUGUUUUGCACUGACAUACCUUGCUGAGGGACUUCUGUCUGAAAGGAUAGGAAAAAGUACCAUAGUGGAUUGGCAACAUGAACUGUUCUCCUUGACAUAUUGUCAAUGAUUUGCUGCUGUAUAGUUGAGAAACAGAACAUGAUUGUUCAAUCAAAAAAAAAAAAAAAAAAAAAAAAAAACAAAAAUUAAACUGAUAGGUCUUCCAUCUACAAGUUAGUUUGCCUAAAAUAAAAGGCAAGGUUUUUCCCCA